rnacentral:rRNA from 1 species
UACGAAGGGGGCUAGCGUUGUUCGGAAUUACUGGGCGUAAAGCGCACGUAGGCGGAUUGGUAAGUCAGGGGUGAAAUCCCGGGGCUCAACCACGGAACUGCCUUUGAUACUGGAAGUCUUGAGACCGAAAGAGGUGAGUGGAAUUCCGAGUGUAGAGGUGAAAUUCGUAGAUAUUAGGAAGAACACCAGUGGCGAAGGCGGCUCACUGGUCCGGUACUGACGCUGAGGUGCGAAAGCGUGGGGAGCAAACAGG